rnacentral:rRNA from 1 species
UACGGGGGGGGCAAGCGUUGUUCGGAAUUACUGGGCGUAAAGUGUGCGCAGGCGGCCGCGCAAGUCGAGUGUGAAAGCCCCGAGCUUAACUUGGGAAUUGCGCUCGAAACUACGUGGCUGGAGUGUGGCAGAGGAAGGUGGAAUUCCAGGUGUAGCGGUGAAAUGCGUAGAGAUCUGGAGGAACACCGAUGGCGAAGGCAGCCUUCUGGGCCAACACUGACGCUCAUGCACGAAAGCGUGGGGAGCAAACAGG